rnacentral:rRNA from 1 species
GACGUAGGGCGCGAGCGUUGUCCGGAUUUAUUGGGCGUAAAGAGCUCGUAGGCGGCUUGUCGCGUCGACUGUGAAAUCCCGCGGCUCAACCGCGGGUCUGCAGUCGAUACGGGCAGGCUAGAGUUCGGUAGGGGAGACUGGAAUUCCUGGUGUAGCGGUGAAAUGCGCAGAUAUCAGGAGGAACACCAAUUGCGAAGGCAGCUCGCUGGAACGUUACUGACGCUGAGACGCGAAAGCGUGGGGAGCAAACAGG